rnacentral:rRNA from 1 species
AGAGCCUGAACCGUCAUGGGGGAAGCGAGUGGUGUUGCAUUGAAGGGCCGUUGUGUGUUCAGCCCGAAAGGGUGUAUUGGCAUGGCGGCUUACCUGUCGUGGGUUCUGGGCCGUGGAUUUUGCACGGCUCGGGGCUGAGGGCUCCCAAUUUGGUGAGGACGACCGGGCGUUGACACGAUUCGACCCGUCUUGAAACACGGACCAAGGAGUCUAGCGCGGCUGCGAGUCGAAGGGUGCAAGCCUGAAGGCAAAGUGAACGCGAGUGUAAAACGAGCAGUUUGGGGCGGCAUGGGAUCGUUGAUUCCAAGUCUGACCUUGAGCAGUUGCGCUGGGACCCGAAAGAUGGUGAACUAUGCCGGAGUAGGGCAAAGCCAGAGGAAACUCUGGUGGAGGCUCGUAGCGGUGCUGACGUGCAAAUCGCUCGUCGAACUUGGGUAUAGGGGCGAAAGACUAAUCGAACCAUCUAGUAGCUGGUUCCCUCCGAAGUUUCUCUCAGGAUAGCGGGCCGACGGUGUUGUUUUGUGCGGUAAAGCGAAUGAUUAGCGCACUCGGGGGCAGUUUGCCUUCGGGCGAUUCUCAAACUUUCAAUGCGCAAGGGUGCCGCUGCUUUGGUGAGCGGUACCGGCAAAAACGUCGGCCCUGUGGGCCACUUUUGGUAAGCAGAACUGGCGAUACGGGAUGAACCGUAAGCGUGGUUAAGGCGCCUAACUGCCCGCUUA